GCAAGGUUAAAACUCAAAUGAAUUGACGGGGGCCCGCACAAGCGGUGGAGCAUGUGGUUUAAUUCGAUGCAACGCGAAGAACCUUACCUGGUCUUGACAUCCACGGAAGUUUUCAGAGAUGAGAAUGUGCCUUCGGGAACCGUGAGACAGGUGCUGCAUGGCUGUCGUCAGCUCGUGUUGUGAAAUGUUGGGUUAAGUCCCGCAACGAGCGCAACCCUUAUCCUUUGUUGCCAGCGAUUAGGUCGGGAACUCAAAGGAGACUGCCAGUGAUAAACUGGAGGAAGGUGGGGAUGACGUCAAGUCAUCAUGGCCCUUACGACCAGGGCUACACACGUGCUACAAUGGCGCAUACAAAGAGAAGCGACCUCGCGAGAGCAAGCGGACCUCAUAAAGUGCGUCGUAGUCCGGAUUGGAGUCUGCAACUCGACUCCAUGAAGUCGGAAUCGCUAGUAAUCGUGGAUCAGAAUGCCACGGUGAAUACGUUCCCGGGCCUUGUACACACCGCCCGUCACACCAUGGGAGUGGGUUGCAAAAGAAGUAGGUAGCUUAACCUUCGGGAGGGCGCUUACCACUUUGUGAUUCAUGACUGGGGUGAAGUCGUAACAAGGUAACCGUAGGGGAACCUGCGGUUGGAUCACCUCCUUACCUUAAAGAAGC
rnacentral:rRNA from 1 species